CUAUACCAGCGUUGCCUACACCUCUAACUAUUCAUCUUACUAGAGCUAGCUCUACGUUCCUUGCCAUAGGGCAUUCUUCUUACAGAAAGUAAGACCUUAUAAAGCUCUGAUAACUCUCUUUCCAGGUUUCCAUUUUCCUUGCACUGCAACUUCCUUUGUAACUUUUCCACAAAAAAGCUUGUUACUAAGUUUCCAAUGGCUUCCACUAGCUCCGAAACACCCUCUUUACCUGGUUCGAACUACGUUGUUUUUCUCAGUUUUCGGGGUGAGGACACCCGCCAUAGCUUUACAGACCAUUUAUACAAGGCAUUUAUAUUGAGAGGCAUUGAAGCCUUUAGAGACAGCGAAAAACUCCAACUAGGACAAGAAAUUGCUUCUGAGCUGAUACAAGCAAUAGAAAAAUCCCAGUAUGCAAUUGUUGUUUUCUCAGAAAAAUAUGCCGAUUCCAAGUGGUGCUUGGAUGAACUUGCUAAAAUUGUUGAAUGCAAAAUAAAUAAGAGACUUGAAGUGGUGCCCGUCUUUUACCACGUAGAUCCCUCCGACGUGCGGAAGCAGACUGGGCCAUUUGAAAAAGCCUUUGACGAACAUCAGAAAAAUGACAAAAUCGACAGAGAGAAGAUUCAAAAAUGGAAAGAUGCUAUGAGAGAAGUGGGGAGUUUAUCCGGCGAGCAUUUACGUCCACAACCACAUCAAAGGUCUGAGGCAGAAUGUAUCCAAGACAUUGUGGAAGAGGUAUUAAAUAAAUUGAGAAAUACAGCACAUACCACGGAACUAAUAGGAAUGGAAUCCCGAGUUGAGAAAUUGAAAUCAUACUUAACUAUAGAGUCAAAUGAUGUUCGCAUUAUAGGAAUUUGGGGGACAGGAGGAAUGGGUAAGACAGCUCUUGCAAGAGUUGUUUAUAGUAUGGUUUCCAAUCAUUUUGAAGCUUGCUGUUUUAUUGCUAAUGUUAGGGAAGAAUCUGAAAAAUGUGGUUUAUGCAAGUUACAAAAAAAACUUUUGAAAAAACUUUUGAUGCUAAAAAAUUUGAAUUUGAAUCUACAAGAUGUUGAUGAUGGAGUUCAAAUGAUCAAGAAUAGGCUACAUAACAAAAAGAUUCUUCUUGUUCUUGAUGACGUAAAUGAAUUAGACCAAUUGAAGAAGUUAGCAGGGGAUCAUUGUUGGUUUGGUUCAGGUAGUAGAAUUAUGAUAACAACAAGAGAUAGGCAUUUGUUAGUGUAUCAUGAAGGAACUGAAAUAUAUGAGGCUGAAGUAUUGAAUCAUGAUGAAGCUCUUAAACUUUUUAGUUUGAGAGCUUUUAAAAUGGACCAUCCAACUGAAGAUUAUGGAAAGCUAUCUCAAGCUUUUGUAGAUUAUUGUAAGGGGCUUCCUUUGGCCCUUGAAAUUUUGGGUUCUUUCUUGUUCAAAAGAAGCAUUGAUGAUUGGGAAAGUGAAUUGAAUAGGCUCAUCGAAUUUUGUGAUAGAGGAAUUCUCAAUGUGCUUCAAAUAAGUUUUUAUGGACUACGACAAACAGAGAAGGAAAUUUUCUUAAAUAUUGCAUGCUUUUUUAAUCACAAGAAUGGAGAUGACGUCAUAAAAAUACUAGACUAUCUUAGGCUUCAUGCUAGAAUUGGAUUGAGCGUUCUUAUUGACAAGUCUCUCAUUAAAUUGCAUGAAAAUCAAUUGUGGAUGCAUGAUUUACUACAAGAAAUGGGUCGAGAUAUAGUUUGUCAAGAGUGCAAAGAUCCUGAGGAACGUAGUAGAUUGUGGUCAUUUGACGACAUCAACAAUGUGCUGACAGAAAAUACGGGAACAAAGAAAAUUCAAUGCAUAGGACUAGAGAUGCAUGAACCAAAAAAUGUAGAAUGGAAUCCUGAGGCCUUUUCAAAGAUGCAAAAUCUAAAAUUGCUUAAAAUUUGUGGUGUUCAACUUAUGCAUGGUCUCAAACAUCUUCCUAGGAGCUUAAGAGUUCUUGAAUGGAGAGAGUACCCUUCAAAAUCGUUGACAUCAAGUUUCCUAUCAAAGUGUUUUGAGAAUUUGAAAUUCAUUGCUCUAAAGCUUACUGAAGGCCCAGACAUCAAUAACGUCCCAAAUCUUAAGAGUUUGGUUCUUCAAAAUUGUAUAAAUUUACGUAGGAUUCACCCAUCAAUUGGAAUUCAUAAAAAGCUUACUAUUCUUGAUUUAAGUGGGUGCAAGAACCUCACAAGUCUUCCAAGCAAGUUUGAAAUGGAGUGUGUUAAGGAACUUAAUCUUGCUUGGUGCUCAAAAAUAACAAAACUUCCAGAAUUCAGCAGAAACAUGAAAUGUGUACGCCGUAUUUUUUUAACUGGUGCUGCUGCAAUUACAACACUACCCACGUCAAUUGAGAAUUUGGCUGCCCUACGCUACCUUUAUUUGAUAGAUACUGCAAUUACAACACUACCCACGUCAAUUGGGCAUUUGGCUGCCCUAAGCAUCCUUAAGUUGGGUGGUUCUGCAAUUACAACACUACCCACUUCAAUUGAGCAUUUGACUAACCUUGGUGAGUUGGAAUUAACUAAUUGCAAAAAUCUUGUGCAUUUACCUGAUACCGUUUUUAAUUUAAAGUUGGUUAGAGUAGUCAAUCUUGAGGGAUGCUCAAAACUGGAUAGACUGCCAGAGAACCUAGGGAAUGCCGAAAGUCUAAGGUGUUUGGCAUUGGGCGAAACUGCUAUAAGAAAGGUCCCUUCUUCCAUUGGUCUCUUAAAACAUCUUGUUGAGCUAACUAUCAAUGGAUGUAAGGGGUUAUCAUCUAAUAAAUCGUGGUAUGAGCUCCUCCCUUUUUGUUCAAUGCCAACAAGUCCUCAUCCCAUCGACUUGCUAUUCUCUUCUCUAUCUCUGUCACCUGCGUCUUCUUUAUUCUGGUUAGAUUUAAGUUACUGCAAUCUCAAGGCAAUCCCCAAUGAUAUUGGUUCCUUAUUCAAUUUAUAUGAAUUGGAUCUAAGUGGAAAUGAUUUUGUUUGCCUUCCGGAAAGCAUCAUUCGACUUUCGGAAUUGACAUGGUUGAAGUUGAAUAAUUGCACAAGUCUUCGAUCAUUGCCAAAGCUUCCAUUGAAAGUUAACUUGGUUGAGGCAGAAGGUUGUAUCUCACUGGAAAUGUUAACAGAUCCAUUAAAACCAAGCGAUUCAUUGGAACCACGAUCUCUCGGUCUUCAAAAUUGCUUUAAAUUGGCUGACAAUCAAAGCUGCAUAGACUGGUUUAUCUCAGGGAUAAAAAAGUACCUCAAGCUCACUCCCUCUCUCCCUCUCUCAGUCAUAAAAACCAAUCCUUAUAAUCCAUAUGCCAUUGUUAUUCCUGGAAGUGAAAUUCCUGAGUGGUUUAGCCACCAAAGCAUGGGGAAUGAAGUGAAAAUAAAACAACCUUCUCAUUUGUGUAAGAAGGUGGGAAUUGCUUUUUGCGUUGUGUUUUGUACGAAUAAUUUUGAUUCAUAUCCCCGUCUUGCAUAUUCGUUGAUAGCCAAUGGAAAAAGAAUUGAGAUUGAUGACUAUCACUCAAUUAAUAAGGUUUCAUCAGAUCACGUUUCGCUAGUCUAUGUGGUUCCUCAAUACUUGGACGAGGAAUCAAAUAAAUUAUUGUGGGAAGGUGACGUGAAUGGAUUCAGUCAUAUUAGAAUUAAAAUUGAAAGCAGCCGUGUCAAGGUAAAAAAAUGGGGGAUCCGUAUGAUAUACAAGAAAGACAUAGAAGAUCUUGACAGAACAAUGGUCCAGUAUAGCAACAGCAGCAUCGCUCCUUAUGAUGGCAUGGAUGUUCUCCAUCAUAAUUUCGACCAUUCGUCAGUGGUAGUGGAAUGUCACAAAGUCAAGCGUAGUCAUGAUGAUUACAAUGGGGCUGGACCCAGUGGAGAAGGAAGCUCAAAAAGGAUUAAAAGGCACACAGAAACCAAUGUUAACUCUGAUUCUGAGGAGUCAAGUGAGUUCAAGGACUGUGAUGAGGAGUUAAGCGAUUGUGAAGAAUCUAAUGAACGUAACCCUUAUGGUUAAUCAACUUUUCAGGUAACUAACAGUUCAAAAAACAAACAAAAGCCUAAACAGCCAGGAUAAGUAAAUGCAGACCAUUAGAGAGGGUUCAACUGCAACCAAUCCUGCUGGAGGAGAGCUGCAAGGGUAGGGGAUGGAAAUAGCGGGGAUCCAAUUUCUUUUUUAAAAAUAGAGAAUGUCCAUGUCCAUAGCUGCUUGUGACGAGUCAAGUGAGUGAUUAGUGACCUGAGAUUUUUUCAUUGGAAGGAAUUUUGUGAUGUGACCCAGAAGGUUAAUCAACUUUUUUCUCACUAUCACCAAGUAACUACUGGAGAGUCCCAAGGCAAGUGUGUCCAGUUGUGGAGGGAUGGCAGGUGUUGCUGACAAUUGAGGGGAUCUGGCAGAGCAGAUGCAAAUGGGGUUGUUUUGCCUAUGUAGCUAAAUAAUGGGCUGGCAGAUAAUUUUUCAGGCUGUUCUAGUAAUGCCGUAUGCAAACGAGUGGAAGCUUACUGUUUGAGUAGCAUAUUUUCCAGGCUUGUUUUGGUUAGUGGAAGAUUGGAGAACCUGUGGAAAAGAAGAAGGUUCCUUGGCAACUUGCUGUGCUGACUAAAGAACACAAGUGCAAGGAAGUUAGAGAACGCCAGUGGUGUACAUUUGCUGUGCAUGGGAGUCACUAAUGAGGCUAGAGCCCAGGUUACUCUUGCUUCCAACUCUUUUAUGAACAUUUUUUGGGCUUGUAAGUGGUGUACAUUUGCUGUGCAUGGGAGUCACUAAUGAGGCUAGAGCCCAGGUUACUCUUUUAUGAACAUAUUUGCGAGCUGCAGCUUAGCUUUGCUAUUGGCACUUAUUCCAACAACAGCAUCAUUGAAGAUUGUUGAACUUCUUGUCUUUUUUCUUAGUCAACUUUUUCUCUAUAUUACCUGAUUAUUGGACUUGUUCAUGAGGAGAAACUGUCACAUGGCCAAGAGAUAAGAAGGCAAAUGCAGUCCAUUUUAUGCUUCUGAUUUUCGCUAUCCGUAAUAGAUUGCAAGAUCAUGACCAGGCAGAGCUGAAACAAGCCAAAAGGCCUAUCUCAAAAUCAUAACUUAAUUAGCUUAUACCCUGUCAAAGAGACUUGACUAGAAUUAGAAUUAAAGGACAGCAGUAGACAGUAGAGAAACCCAACCAUACAACAAACUUGGUUAUAUAUUACUAACCACAUCAUUUGAGACAUAUGUGUCCUUACAGUAAUCAGACUCAAGCAAGCAAGCAACUGUGUAGACAAGGUUGAAAAUUGGAGAAGGUAGCCUACUUGGAUUGGACCUGGUUAGGCAGCAAUACUCUCCUAAAGUAGUGAAGUGACUGCUCAAAUUUUAGCCACCCCUAUCUCAAGGUCUGCACAGGUCUCUAAUGCACAAAAAGCGGAUCAGAGUAACUGCAGGAAAGUACCAAGGCGAGUGUGUCAAGUUGUGGAGGGUUGUAGGUGUUGCUGAAAAUUUAGGGACACUAGCAGAGAUAGUGUGAACGGGGUGGUUUUGGCUUUGUAGCCAAAUCAAGUGCUCGCAGGCUGUUGCAGUUAUUCCAUAUGCAACCAAAUGGCAUGCCGCUAGAUGCCCGUCUGUUCGGAAAGCAUUAACUAAGGCUAUACGGCUUGGUUUUUGUAGACUUGUUUCCGUAAUUUCUAUGAGUGGAGGACCUCUUUUUGAGAAGAAGGUUCCAUUUCAACUUGCUGUGCUGAUUGAAGACCACAAGUGCAUGGAAUUUGGAGAACGGUAGUGGCUGUAUAUUUUGUAGAUAAGAGAGUUGCUACAGAUGUUGGGGCCUUGCUUCAAAUUCUUUUGAACAUUUUUGGACUCUACUACCAGCCAACGCUUUAGACAUUAUUGUAUUAAUAAACCAUACCCAAAAAGAAAAUAGAAGACGAAAAGAAAGAAGUUAAAUUAACACCUUUUCUGGACUAAUUUAAGCUAUGGCAUGCAACUACAUGCAAUCAUUAACAUUGUAAGACAUCAUAUAAGAGAUUCAUGUCCUUGCGUGAAAAUCA